rnacentral:tRNA from 1 species
UAAAAAUUAGUUAAAGUAUAAUAUUAAUUUGUCAAAUUAAAGUUAUUAAUUUUUAAUAUUUUUAA